rnacentral:lncRNA from 1 species
GUAGAUGUUUCGCCAUAAGCUAAAAUCCAUCGAAGCACACAAAGCAUGGAUGAAGAGCCCUGAAGUGCUUGAGAACUGUUCCACUGGACUUCAUUUCCCUGCAGAGCAUAUAGAGAACUUUGAGGUGACUUCUUGGACUGGCAAAAUUCUUAUUUGUUUGGAUGGAACUGUGAACUGAAGGUACCUUCUAUUGUUGCAGGAGCAGGAGGUGAUGCCACUAAAGUCAGUUGCUUUCUAUGCAGCUGACGGGUGAGAGAUAUAUUCAGGUAAAAGACCACUGGCAGUGCUUCGCUGCUGAAAGAAACGAGGGAUUCUGCCAGAGACGUUGUAAAUUUACUAGAGCAGCUGUAAAUAAGCUUGCUUGACAAUACUGUUAGAGAUGCUGACAGUGUAGUUCGCUUCGGCUUAGUCUGCUUGUAAUUUGAUUGCGUUGUACCUACGUGUUAACCUGUCUGUCCUCCAGAUAUAAUGACAGCCAGUAGUUGGAUCUCCAGCAAAACUGUGUAAAGACUUGGUCUUGUAACCCUAUAUGUGCUGCCCUGUGUUAUAAACAAGUUCAUGUUUGCAUCUCGCUGCAACAUCUCUGAAGGUUUGCUGGAUGUUU